CCCUUAGAGUUUGAUCCUGGCUCAGAACGAACGUUGGCGGCGUGGAUUAGGCAUGCAAGUCGAACGAAGACGCCCCGGGUAGCAAUACUUGGGGCGGACUGAGUGGCGAAAGGGGCAGUAAUGCGUGGGUAACCUACCCUGGGGAUGGGCAUAGCCGGUCUAACGACCGGGUAAUUCCCAGCGAUUCGGCGAGGAGGCAUCUCUUUGCCGGGAAAUGAGUUUCGCCUCGGGAGGGGCUCACGUCGUAUUAGCUAGUUGGUGGGGUAACGGCCUACCAAGGCGAAGAUGCGUAGCGGGUGUGAGAGCACGACCCGCGCCACUGGCACUGAGACACUGGCCAGACACCUACGGGUGGCUGCAGUCGAGAAUCUUCGGCAAUGGGCGCAAGCCUGACCGAGCGACGCCGCGUGUGCGAUGAAGGCCUUCGGGUUGUAAAGCACUGUCGAGGGGGAUCAAAGCCGCAAGGCUUGAGAGAUCCCUGGAGGAAGCACGGGCUAAGUUCGUGCCAGCAGCCGCGGUAAGACGAACCGUGCGAACGUUGUUCGGAAUCACUGGGCUUAAAGGGCGCGUAGGCGGUUGAUCAAGUCCGGGGUGAAAUCCUGCAGCUUAACUGUAGAAGUGCCUUGGAUACUGGUCGGCUCGAGGGAGGUAGGGGUCUGUGGAACUUCUGGUGGAGCGGUGAAAUGCGUUGAUAUCAGAAGAACGCCGGUGGCGAAAGCGGCAGACUGGACCUCUUCUACGCUGAGCGCGAAAGCUAGGGGAGCAAACGGGA
rnacentral:rRNA from 1 species